GUCAACAUGGCGGCUCACAAAGUUACGUUCGAUCUUUUGUGCUGAACUUACCAUGGACAGUUUGCAUGUGACGAGUGAUACCUGGCUUGAUUUUAUAUACAACAUGGAGAUGUGAUGCACAUAGUGUGCAUUUGUAUUCCUUGUGUGUGCCAAAUAAAAUUUCAAAAUGUGAUUCAGCAGAAUCCAACAAAUUCAC